UACGUAGGGGGCUAGCGUUGUCCGGAUUUAUUGGGCGUAAAGAGCGUGUAGGCGGCCAGGUAGGUCUGCUGUGAAAACUCGAGGCUCAACCUCGAGACGUCGGCGGAAACCAUCCGGCUAGAGUCCGGAAGAGGAGAGUGGAAUUCCUGGUGUAGCGGUGAAAUGCGCAGAUAUCAGGAAGAACACCCGUGGCGAAGGCGGCUCUCUGGACCACAACUGACGCUGAUGCACGAAAGCUAGGGGAGCAAACGGG
rnacentral:rRNA from 1 species